rnacentral:rRNA from 1 species
GGUUAAGCGAACAAGCGUACACGGUGGAUGCCCUGGCAGUCAGAGGCGAUGAAGGACGUGCUAAUCUGCGAAAAGCGCCGGUAAGGUGAUAUGAACCGUUAUAACCGGCGAUGUCCGAAUGGGGAAACCCGGUGCACUUCGGUGCAUCAUCGUUAGCUGAAUACAUAGGCUAACGAGGCGAACCGGGGGAACUGAAACAUCUAAGUACCCCGAGGAAAAGAAAUCAACCGAGAUUCCCCCAGUAGCGGCGAGCGAACGGGGAACAGCCCAGAGCCUGAAUCAGCUUGUGUGUCAGUGGAACGGUCUGGAAAGGCCGGCGAUACAGGGUGACAGCCCCGUACACGAAGGCACACAGGCUGUGAGCUCGAUGAGUAGGGCGGGACACGUGAUAUCCUGUCUGAAGAUGGGGGGACCAUCCUCCAAGGCUAAAUACUCCUGACUGACCGAUAGUGAACCAGUACCGUGAGGGAAAGGCGAAAAGAACCCCGGCGAGGGGAGUGAAACAGAACCUGAAACCGUGUACGUACAAGCAGUGGGAGCCUUCGUAAGAGGGUGACUGCGUACCUUUUGUAUAAUGGGUCAGCGACUUAUAUUCUGUAGCAAGGUUAACCGUAUAGGGGAGCCGAAGGGAAACCGAGUCUUAAUUGGGCGUUAAGUUGCAGGGUAUAGACCCGAAACCCGGUGAUCUAGCCAUGGGCAGGUUGAAGGUUGGGUAACACUAACUGGAGGACCGAACCGACUAAUGUUGAAAAAUUAGCGGAUGACCUGUGGCUGGGGGUGAAAGGCCAAUCAAACCGGGAGAUAGCUGGUUCUCCCCGAAAGCUAUUUAGGUAGCGCCUCGUGAACUCAUCUCCGGGGGUAGAGCACUGUUUCGGCUAGGGGGCCAUCCCGGCUUACCAACCCGAUGCAAACUGCGAAUACCGGAGAAUGUUAUCACGGGAGACACACGGCGGGUGCUAACGUCCGUCGUGAAGAGGGAAACAACCCAGACCGCCAGCUAAGGUCCCAAAGUCAUGGUUAAGUGGGAAACGAUGUGGGAAGGCCCAGACAGCCAGGAUGUUGGCUUAGAAGCAGCCAUCAUUUAAAGAAAGCGUAAUAGCUCACUGGUCGAGUCGGCCUGCGCGGAAGAUGUAACGGGGCUAAACCAUGCACCGAAGCUGCGGCAGCGACACUAUGUGUUGUUGGGUAGGGGAGCGUUCUGUAAGCCUGCGAAGGUGUGCUGUGAGGCAUGCUGGAGGUAUCAGAAGUGCGAAUGCUGACAUAAGUAACGAUAAAGCGGGUGAAAAGCCCGCUCGCCGGAAGACCAAGGGUUCCUGUCCAACGUUAAUCGGGGCAGGGUGAGUCGACCCCUAAGGCGAGGCCGAAAGGCGUAGUCGAUGGGAAACAGGUUAAUAUUCCUGUACUUGGUGUUACUGCGAAGGGGGGACGGAGAAGGCUAUGUCGGCCGGGCGACGGUUGUCCCGGUUUAAGCGUGUAGGCUGACUUUCCAGGCAAAUCCGGAAGGUUAAGGCUGAGGCGUGAUGACGAGGCACCACGGUGCUGAAGUGACAAAUGCCCUGCUUCCAGGAAAAGCCUCUAAGCAUCAGGUAACAUCAAAUCGUACCCCAAACCGACACAGGUGGUCAGGUAGAGAAUACCAAGGCGCUUGAGAGAACUCGGGUGAAGGAACUAGGCAAAAUGGUGCCGUAACUUCGGGAGAAGGCACGCUGACAUGUAGGUGAAGCCCCUGCGGGUGGAGCUGAAGUCAGUCGAAGAUACCAGCUGGCUGCAACUGUUUAUUAAAAACACAGCACUGUGCAAACACGAAAGUGGACGUAUACGGUGUGACGCCUGCCCGGUGCCGGAAGGUUAAUUGAUGGGGUUAUCGCAAGAGAAGCUCCUGAUCGAAGCCCCGGUAAACGGCGGCCGUAACUAUAACGGUCCUAAGGUAGCGAAAUUCCUUGUCGGGUAAGUUCCGACCUGCACGAAUGGCGUAAUGAUGGCCAGGCUGUCUCCACCCGAGACUCAGUGAAAUUGAACUCGCUGUGAAGAUGCAGUGUACCCGCGGCAAGACGGAAAGACCCCGUGAACCUUUACUACAGCUUGACACUGAACAUUGAGCCUUGAUGUGUAGGAUAGGUGGGAGGCUUUGAAGCGUGGACGCCAGUCUGCGUGGAGCCAACCUUGAAAUACCACCCUUUAAUGUUUGAUGUUCUAACCUGGCGCCGUGAUCCGGCGUGGGGACAGUGUCUGGUGGGUAGUUUGACUGGGGCGGUCUCCUCCCAAAGUGUAACGGAGGAGCACGAAGGUCAGCUAAUCCUGGUCGGACAUCAGGAGGUUAGUGCAAUGGCAUAAGCUGGCUUGACUGCGAGAGUGACGGCUCGAGCAGGUGCGAAAGCAGGUCAUAGUGAUCCGGUGGUUCUGUAUGGAAGGGCCAUCGCUCAACGGAUAAAAGGUACUCCGGGGAUAACAGGCUGAUACCGCCCAAGAGUUCAUAUCGACGGCGGUGUUUGGCACCUCGAUGUCGGCUCAUCACAUCCUGGGGCUGAAGUAGGUCCCAAGGGUAUGGCUGUUCGCCAUUUAAAGUGGUACGCGAGCUGGGUUUAGAACGUCGUGAGACAGUUCGGUCCCUAUCUGCCGUGGGCGCUGGAGAAUUGAGGGGGGCUGCUCCCAGUACGAGAGGACCGGAGUGGACGCAUCACUGGUGUUCGGGUUGUCAUGCCAAUGGCACUGCCCGGUAGCUAAAUGCGGAAGAGAUAAGUGCUGAAAGCAUCUAAGCACGAAACUUGCCCCGAGAUGAGUUCUCCCUGAGACUGUAAGUCUCCUGAAGGAACGUUGAAGACGACGACGUUGAUAGGCCGGGUGUGUAAGCGCAGCGAUGCGUUGAGCUAACCGGUACUAAUGAACCGUGAGGCUUAACCUU